rnacentral:rRNA from 1 species
UACGGAGGGUGCAAGCGUUGCUCGGAAUACUGGGCGUAAAGCGAGCGCAGGCGGGCUAUUAAGCCAGAUGUGAAAGCCCAAGGCUCAACCUUGGAAUUGCAUCUGGAACUGGUAGCCUAGAGGAUAAGAGAGGGAAGUAGAAUUCCUGGUGUAGAGGUGAAAUUCGUUGAUAUCAGGAGGAAUACCUGUGGCGAAGGCGGCUUCCUGGCUUAUUUCUGACGCUGAGGCUCGAAAGCGUGGGUAGCGAACA